CUUACAGAACGGGUAUUUAACUUUUGAUGUAUUAAGUCAUACAUAGGCAUUUAAAUUAUGAUCUAUUUAUAUCGAUCACAGUUUGUUCCAAGUGUUGAUUCAUGUCAGAACCGAGUCGCAGAGAGUCUUAUAUGUGUAUGUUUUUGGUUUUGAUUGGCUUUGAUUGAAGAAAUUUCUUUUUCUGAAGUUAAAAUGGCAGACAGAAAACAUAAAGAAGACGAUACAUAGAUUGGACAGGUUCAGCUUUCCUCUACCCAAUGGCAGAAGGGGAUUUUAAUCCUGGCUGGACCUUAUCUGUUUUAUUUUUUGUUCUUGUUUAUGCUUGUGGCAGAUAUAGAGACCAUAUUAUACCUUUCUUUAGGCAUUUAUGUAAUGCGUGUUUCGAAUUAUGCUACGAUUGGAUAACGUCACUAUGGUCUGCAGCUUGUGAACGUUUGAGUUUUUGUAACACUGAAGAAACAGAUAUUGAUCACGUGUCAACUCAAUCAGUUACGCUUGAGUUGUUAUCUGAUCAAUCGAUAAGAAUAGACAGACCUAACGUUAGAACUAAUGAUGAACCCAUUCCAAUUAUUUCAGUGCCACCCCCAUCUUAUGAAAUCGUCUGUGACUCGGAUAGGGCCGAAUCUGAAAACUUUUUAACCCCGACUCUUUCACUUGAGGUACUUUCUAAUCAGUCUACAGACACCGAGGAACACCACAAUAGCAACGAUGUUGAAAAUCCCGUUCCAAUUAUUUCAGUGCCACCCCCAUCUUAUGAAAUCGUCUGUGACUCGGAUAGGGCCGAAUCUGAAAACUUUUUAACCCCAACUCUUUCACUUGAGAUACUUUCUAAUCAGUCUACAGACACCGAGGAACACCACAAUAGCAACGAUGUUGAAAAUCUCUCAAUAAAUUCUGAACCACCCCCAUCUUACGAGAUAGCUGUCAUUGACCUUUCUCAACCACCGCCGAGUUACAACGAAGCUGUGAAGUAAAAUUCUACGUAAACAUGAGGAAAACGACAGUCGAAUACCUUAACAUCACAACACCUGUGCCUGAUUCCAAUGACGACUAUUUUGAGAGUGGUUGGUUUGGAUCUGUCUUAAUUCUGGUGCUCUUUGUUCUUUGUUAUAAAUUUGGUCGUGAGAGCAUAAGAAAAAUACGUGAGUGUAGGCUGAGGAAUUGUGAAUGCUCCUGUAAUUUGUCUCUGGAUUCAUGCAAUUGUUUAGAUGUGAUUAGGUCAAAAUGCUCUGCAGCUUGUGAACGUUUAAGAGUUUUUGUCAGAGGUAGAAACCAUGAAAGGACAGACACAGAACACGUUCCGACCCAGGCGGUCACACUAAAUGGGCUACCCUCUCAGGCUACAGAAACGAACGAACACACCAACAACAAUAACCAAAAUGUCCCAGGUAGUCCUGAACCACCCCCAUCCUACGAGACAGUUGUCUUUGACCAGUUCCAACCACCCCCUAGUUACGAAGAAGUUACGAGGUGAAUUGUAGAUUAUUUAGUGUAAUGCGUAUUAGGAAUGCAAAAUCAAUGAUUAUAAUGAUUUGCAGCUAUCCAUAGUUUGAUUUACAGCUAUCCAUAGUAAUACACAAUGGUAUUUAUAAAAAAGAUCCUCACUUUCCACACAGACAUAUUUGUAAUUUCACUAACUUGUAUAAAUUAAAAGACCACUGUCCCCAGGAUCAUGAAACAUCUUGAGCUUAAGUCAAUAUCUUCAUGUGGUACUUAAAUGUUGUGGAAGUCAAGCAGAUCAAAUUUAUAGUAUGUUUCGAUAUUGUUUCACAAAAAGUUUUGUUAUUUGCAAAUGUUAAGAUUAUUUAAAUAAUUAAUAAACAUUUUUCUGGCGAUUGAAAUUUGUCUUGAGUCUAAGAUUGUUUCCUGAUCCUGGGGCCUGGACAUAUAGUUAUUUGUUACUAGUUUCAGUACUUCCACUAUCAGUUGUUGUUUACAUUUUCCAUGUUUUCCCCCCGUAGAGUUUGUUAUAACACAUUUAGUGAGGAUGAAAGGGUUUUUUUCAUAAGAUUGUACAAUGUAGAUUUUAACGUUCUCUAAGUUUUGUGUUUUUUUUUUUGUUUGUUUCAAGCUAAAAUUCAGAGAUAUCAUCUUGACAAAUACAUUUGUAUUGCUUUAAACAACGUAUCAGAAAUCACAGCCAUGUUGUCUCUAUACCGGUAGUUAUAUAAAAUAAAUUUAAACAUAAAAGAUCAUUUAUUCAUUUAAACCUUUUUUAAUAAAAUCCAGGGAUUUUACAACGCUUGAAAAUAUAGUUUUAGAUGCUUUAUCUGUCUGCAUUUUCUCAAGCAGAGAGAUAAAGUUCUGUAUAAUACAGGAAGCGAUCUAGUUUGCCUUGUUCUUAGUAAAUCAUUCUAGCUAAUCAAAUAUUUAGACUUAUCAUGUAUUUAUAUGUAUUUCUGCAUUGUAUGCAUUUAAAGAAUUGUUAAAAACACAGAAAACACCCAACAACAGAAAUAAAAUCAGUUAAAUGUUCAUCGUAUCCGUAAGGACGGGAUGAAAUUCCUCAGUAUUCCUUUAACUGGGCGCCACAACAGAAGAAGCAAAAUUCUCACCAAAUGUAGGACCAAUUCCAGCAUGACUUUCAGGGGAUUUUCCAUUUUCUGUAAUUAACAAGAUUGUGUACGUCAAUGACGCGUUUAGACAUCGCUAUAAAUUGUGUGACCCUGGGGAACAGUUUUCAUCCACAAAAUCUGGAAGCAUCUUUGAAUCGCAUGUGUGUACAUUUUAGAGACUAUUAUUUUACUUCAUAACAUGUUGAUCAGUUUUUGUUAAUUUUGAAGGGAAAAAAUAAAAGGACAUAAAACAUUUGCAUACAUUUGUCGUACUGAC